UUUGGCGUAUUCUGAACAUGAGUUUUAGAAGUACUUGGUAUAAUAAUGCUACAACCAUCAGGAUUUUGUUCACUAAGAGCCCUAGUCCAGCUGGAAUACUGCAGAAGUACAAGGUUGUCCAGUGAGCUGAAGCAAUACAUGCUGCUAUCUCAUAUUCUGGGACACAGAGCAGGAUGUCAGCAGCACUGCAAGAUACAGUUAAACAGACCCAAUCUACGGGAGGACAUCAUGCAGCCACAUCACUGUCCUGCAGAAUAGGAGAUAAUACUGUGAAUUGGAAAAGAGGCUGAGAUAAAAUCUCCUUUGACCUCUUGAUUGCAAAGGAAAUGGAUGGGAGACAUGUUUGGUGUUCCUAAUCAUCAGCGACGUGUUUUAUAGAGAUCCACUUCUGUAAGGACUUCUGUGCUGUGUCAAAUACAAGCAAAGAGGAAAAAACCAAUAUUUUCCCAAUUCCUUGUUUAAAAAGGUAAGGAGAAGGCCCCAGAGUCAUAAUCACUCCUUCCAAUCCUUUACAGAUGAUGUUAAGGCAUACAGAAAUGAAAGGACUCACCAAGAUUAUGCCACACAGUCAGGAUUUAAACUCAGAACUUCUGAAUCCAACCCCAGUGCCUGAACCACACAUUCAUUUUCUUCUCUGUAUUCCCCCAGAGUCUUAGGCCAUGUGGCCACUACUGGUGAAAUGAAAAACAGGUGCAGAUCCACAAACAGAUGGGAGACCAGCCCUGGCUGAUCUCUGGAGAUAAUACAGAGUUGUUUUCCGGCAAGGAGGAUUCCAAAGAACCACAGAGGCAGCACCCCUGCCCUAAAAGUGAAGCUGCCCUGCCUCACACUAAAUGUUAUCUUCAGCAGCCCAGCAAGUGGGAGUUUUGAGGCAUGGUCUGUUGUCUGUCAGCAAAGGACACUGCCUUACUGACCUCUCAGACUUGCAAUAUUGACAUGUCUGGUUUUCAGGCAUGCCUAUAAAGAUUGUAGAAGACUAAUUGCAAUUCCAUUCUUUGCAGUAACUGCAGCCAAUGUUUCUAAGUUGCUGAAACAUGACAUUUCUUCCCUAGAGUAGACAACUUUGGAAUGUCUAACCCUCAAAAAAUGCCAUUAGUCAUAUGCAGAAUCUUUCUCUGGGAAAAUAACUAGUGGUAUGGGACAAAUAACCCAGGUAAGAUGAAUAAUAUAUUUGUUCUGAAUCCAUAAGGACAGAUUUGCUUUUGAUUUCCAGUUCAUGGGGAGCUGAUGGCUUACUCCACAAUGCAUAGCUAAACAAAGAACUUGGACUGCUUUCUCAGGAGGAGGGAGAGUGAUAGUAGACAACUAACAGGGCAAUCACCUGGUCCUAAGCACAGGACAGAGUGCUAGGAUGCAAAAUACUUCCCUGCCUUGUGUGACCCACUGUUAUAGUCCCCCCAUGGUACGGGACACAUUUUCCCUCCGUGUGUCACCUGAGACAUCAGGCAGAGGUAUUAGAGAAGGCAUAGAAAUCCUUGUUUUCCUCAGAUCCACAGAACACAGAUCAAACCCAAGAGGAUAGCACG